UGGGGUGUGGCUCAGAGGUAGAGUGCUCGCCUAGCAUGCGUGAGGCACUGGGUUUGAUCUUCAGCACCAUAU
rnacentral:tRNA from 1 species